rnacentral:rRNA from 1 species
GUUGAACGCUGGCGGAAUGCUUUACACAUGCAAGUCGAACGGCAGCACGGGGCAACCUGGUGGCGAGUGGCGAACGGGUGAGUAAUACAUCGGAACGUGCCCAAUCGUGGGGGAUAACGUAGCGAAAGUUACGCUAAUACCGCAUACGAUCUACGGAUGAAAGCGGGGGAUCGCAAGACCUCGCGCGAAUGGAGCGGCCGAUGUCAGAUUAGGUAGUUGGUGGGGUAAAGGCUCACCAAGCCAACGAUCUGUAGCUGGUCUGAGAGGACGACCAGCCACACUGGAACUGAGACACGGUCCAGACUCCUACGGGAGGCAGCAGUGGGGAAUUUUGGACAAUGGGCGCAAGCCUGAUCCAGCCAUUCCGCGUGCAGGAUG